rnacentral:rRNA from 1 species
CGACACACUAUCGUUAACUGAAUACAUAGGUUAACGAGGCGAACCGGGGGAACUGAAACAUCUAAGUACCCCGAGGAAAAGAAAUCAACCGAGAUUCCCCCAGUAGCGGCGAGCGAACGGGGAGCAGCCCGGAGUCUGAAUCAGCUUGUGUGUUAGUGGAACGGUCUGGAAAGUCCGACGGUACAGGGUGAUAGUCCCGUACACGAAAACACACUUGCUGUGAACUCGAAGAGUAGGGCGGGACACGUGGUAUCCUGUCUGAAUAUGGGGGGACCAUCCUCCAAGGCUAAAUACUCCUGACUGACCGAUAGUGAACCAGUACCGUGAGGGAAAGGCGAAAAGAACCCCGGCGAGGGGAGUGAAAAAGAACCUGAAACCGUGUACGUACAAGCAGUGGGAGCACCUUCGGGUGUGACUGCGUACCUUUUGUAUAAUGGGUCAGCGACUUAUAUUCUGUAGCAAGGUUAACCGUAUAGGGGAGCCGAAGGGAAACCGAGUCUUAACUGGGCGUUAAGUUGCAGGGUAUAGACCCGAAACCCGGUGAUCUAGCCAUGGGCAGGUUGAAGGUUGGGUAACACUAACUGGAGGACCGAACCGACUAAUGUUGAAAAAUUAGCGGAUGACCUGUGGCUGGGGGUGAAAGGCCAAUCAAACCGGGAGAUAGCUGGUUCUCCCCGAAAGCUAUUUAGGUAGCGCCUCGUGAACUCAUCUUCGGGGGUAGAGCACUGUUUCGGCUAGGGGGCCAUCCCGGCUUACCAACCCGAUGCAAACUACGAAUACCGAAGAAUGUUAUCACGGGAGACACACGGCGGGUGCUAACGUCCGUCGUGAAGAGGGAAACAACCCAGACCGCCAGCUAAGGUCCCAAAGUCAUGGUUAAGUGGGAAACGAUGUGGGAAGGCACAGACAGCCAGGAUGUUGGCUUAGAAGCAGCCAUCAUUUAAAGAAAGCGUAAUAGCUCACUGGUCGAGUCGGCCUGCGCGGAAGAUGUAACGGGGCUAAACCAUGCACCGAAGCUGCGGCAGCGACACUAUGUGUUGUUGGGUAGGGGAGCGUUCUGUAAGCCGUUGAAGGUGUGCUGUGAGGCAUGCUGGAGGUAUCAGAAGUGCGAAUGCUGACAUAAGUAACGAUAAAGCGGGUGAAAAGCCCGCUCGCCGGAAGACCAAGGGUUCCUGUCCAACGUUAAUCGGGGCAGGGUGAGUCGACCCCUAAGGCGAGGCCGAAAGGCGUAGUCGAUGGGAAACAGGUUAAUAUUCCUGUACUUGGUGUUACUGCGAAGGGGGGACGGAGAAGGCUAUGUCAGCCGGGCGACGGUUGUCCCGGUUUAAGCAUGUAGGCGGAGGUUCCAGGUAAAUCCGGUACCUUUUAACGCUGAGGUGUGAUGACGAGGCACUACGGUGCUGAAGUGAUAAAUGCCCUGCUUCCAGGAAAAGCCUCUAAGCAUCAGGUAACACGAAAUCGUACCCCAAACCGACACAGGUGGUCAGGUAGAGAAUACCAAGGCGCUUGAGAGAACUCGGGUGAAGGAACUAGGCAAAAUGGUGCCGUAACUUCGGGAGAAGGCACGCUGAUA